GUCUUAGUAGCUUAAUUAAAGCAUUGACCUUGUAAGCCAAAGAAUGAGAAUUAAUAUUCUCCUAAGACU
rnacentral:tRNA from 1 species